GAAAUGCGAUAAGUAAUGUGAAUUGCAGAAUUCAGUGAAUCAUCGAAUCUUUGAACGCACCUUGCGCUCCUUGGUAUUCCUUGGAGCAUGCCUGUUUGAGUAUCAUGAAAUCUUCAAAGUAAAUCUUUUGUUAACUCAAUUGGUUUCUACUUUGGUAUUGGAGGUCUUUGCAGCUUCACACCUGCUCCUCUUUGUUCAUUAGCUGGAUCUCAGUGUUAUGCUUGGUUCCACUCGGCGUGAUAAGUUAUCUAUCGCUGAGGACACUGUAAAAGGUGGCCAAGGUAAAUGCAGAUGAACCGCUUCUAAUAGUCCAUUUACUUGAACAAUACUUUUAUGAUCUGAUCUCAAAUCAGGUAGGACUACCCGCUGAACUUAAGC
rnacentral:misc_RNA from 1 species